UCUCUUCGGAGAUACUCGAGUGGCGAACGGGUGAGUAACACGUGGGUAAUCUGCCCUGCACUUCGGGAUAAGCCUGGGAAACUGGGUCUAAUACCGGAUAGGACCUCAAGGCGCAUGCCUUUGUGGUGGAAAGCUUUUGCGGUGUGGGAUGGGCCCGCGGCCUAUCAGCUUGUUGGUGGGGUGACGGCCUACCAAGGCGACGACGGGUAGCCGGCCUGAGAGGGUGUCCGGCCACACUGGGACUGAGAUACGGCCCAGACUCCUACGGGAGGCAGCAGUGGGGAAUAUUGCACAAUGGGCGCAAGCCUGAUGCAGCGACGCCGCGUGGGGGAUGACGGCCUUCGGGUUGUAAACCUCUUUCACCAUCGACGAAGGUUCGGGUUUUCUCGGAUUGACGGUAGGUGGAGAAGAAGCACCGGCCAACUACGUGCCAGCAGCCGCGGUAAUACGUAGGGUGCGAGCGUUGUCCGGAAUUACUGGGCGUAAAGAGCUCGUAGGUGGUUUGUCGCGUUGUUCGUGAAAUCUCACGGCUUAACUGUGAGCGUGCGGGCGAUACGGGCAGACUGGAGUACUGCAGGGGAGACUGGAAUUCCUGGUGUAGCGGUGGAAUGCGCAGAUAUCAGGAGGAACACCGGUGGCGAAGGCGGGUCUCUGGGCAGUAACUGACGCUGAGGAGCGAAAGCGUGGGGAGCGAACAGGAUUAGAUACCCUGGUAGUCCACGCCGUAAACGGUGGGUACUAGGUGUGGGUUUCCUUCCUUGGGAUCCGUGCCGUAGCUAACGCAUUAAGUACCCCGCCUGGGGAGUACGGCCGCAAGGCUAAAACUCAAAGGAAUUGACGGGGGCCCGCACAAGCGGCGGAGCAUGUGGAUUAAUUCGAUGCAACGCGAAGAACCUUACCUGGGUUUGACAUGCACAGGACGCGUCUAGAGAUAGGCGUUCCCUUGUGGCCUGUGUGCAGGUGGUGCAUGGCUGUCGUCAGCUCGUGUCGUGAGAUGUUGGGUUAAGUCCCGCAACGAGCGCAACCCUUAUCUUAUGUUGCCAGCGGGUAAUGCCGGGGACUCGUGAGAGACUGCCGGGGUCAACUCGGAGGAAGGUGGGGAUGACGUCAAGUCAUCAUGCCCCUUAUGUCCAGGGCUUCACACAUGCUACAAUGGCCGGUACAAAGGGCUGCGAUGCCGCAAGGUUAAGCGAAUCCUUUUAAAGCCGGUCUCAGUUCGGAUCGGGGUCUGCAACUCGACCCCGUGAAGUCGGAGUCGCUAGUAAUCGCAGAUCAGCAACGCUGCGGUGAAUACGUUCCCGGGCCUUGUACACACCGCCCGUCACGUCAUGAAAGUCGGUAACACCCGAAGCCAGUGGCCUAACCCUUGGGAGGGAGCUGUCGAAGGUGGGAU
rnacentral:rRNA from 1 species